UGAGGAAUCUUGCGCAAUGGGGGAAACCCUGACGCAGCAACGCCGCGUGAGUGAGGAAGGUCUUCGGAUCGUAAAGCUCUGUCAGUUGGAAAGAAAUGUCUGAGAGUCAAUCCCUUUCAGGCUUGACGGUACCAACAGAGGAAGCACCGGCUAACUCCGUGCCAGCAGCCGCGGUAAUACGGGGGGUGCAAGCGUUGUUCGGAAUUAUUGGGCGUAAAGAGCGUGUAGGCGGCCGGAUAUGUCAGAUGUGAAAGCCCCGGGCUUAACCCGGGAAGUGCAUUUGAAACUGUCCGGCUCGAGUAGGGGAGGGGGAAGUGGAAUUCCUGGUGUAGAGGUGAAAUUCGUAGAUAUCAGGAGGAACACCGGUGGCGAAGGCGACUUCCCGGCCCUAUACUGACGCUGAGACGCGAGAGCGUGGGUAGCAAACAG
rnacentral:rRNA from 1 species